rnacentral:rRNA from 1 species
GACGAACGCUGGCGGCGUGCUUAACACAUGCAAGUCGAACGGAAAGGCCCCUUUGGGGGUACUCGAGUGGCGAACGGGUGAGUAACACGUGAGUAACCUGCCCUUGACUUCGGGAUAACUUCAGGAAACUGGGGCUAAUACCGGAUAGGAAUCCUUGCUGCAUGGUGGGGGUUGGAAAGCUUCGGCGGUUUUGGAUGGACUCGCGGCUUAUCAGCUUGUUGGUGGGGUAGUGGCUUACCAAGGCUUUGACGGGUAGCCGGCCUGAGAGGGCGACCGGCCACAUUGGGAAUGAGAUACGGCCCAGACUCCUACGGGAGGCAGCAGUGGGGAAGAUUGCACAAUGGGCGGAAGCCUGAUGCAGCAACGCCGCGUGCGGGAUGACGGCCUUCGGGUUGUAAACCGCGUUCAGCAGGGGCGAAGCUUGUGGUGACGGUACCUGCAGAAGAAGCACCGGCUAACUACGUG